AGGAUUGGGGGGCGGAAUCAUGCGCAGGGGGCGGGGCCCGAGAGAGCUUGGAGAAGACCGGAAGUCCCUCCGCCUCCGCUCGCCCUCGUGCUCCCUUCAGCCCCUUCGCAGCUCCGUGCGCAAGGUCGUGUCCCGGAAGUGAAGGGGCCAUGUUGAUGGGUGACCCGGGGAGAGGUACCCGGCCAGAGGCGAGUCCUGCGGAGUGGUAGCGCGCGCGGCCUGCGGGGACGUUGUGAAAUUCUCUCCGUUACGCAUAAUUUUGAGCCCCUUGUAUGUGCCAAGCGCUGUGCUGGGAAAGUUCGUGGAGCACCCAGAAGUGCUGUACACACGGUCCGGCUCCAGCAAAGGGUAACUCAUUCCAGAGGCAGGCAGAGUUGGGGUCAGGAGUGCAGCCCUCCCCUUGACAGUUGUGGGCCCGCGGAUGAGGAACUGAGACAGUCACAGAGGGGUUAGGAGACUUGCCCACGGUCAUGCAGCUCGUAAGUGUUGGUGCCAGGAUUCAAGUAUGGCUGAGUGCUUGUCUUCAACCCUCCUAGAUCACCCCCUGUGUUGAAGUUCUAUUACCGUUCAUUACGUGCACAGUUCUCA
rnacentral:sRNA from 1 species